GUUUCUUGAUUUCCCUUCCUGCAGAGAAGGCCUCUGCGCACAUGGUGUCCUGGAACUGGAGGAGAGGAGCUGAGAAUAAGAAGAGGAAAGGAGCCCGAAUAGUUCAUCCAUCAGUUUCCAAAGAGGAAGAUGGUGUUUACUACUGAAAUUUGGCUUUCCUGGCACCAAAAGCCCAACAAAGCAAUUGUCGGGAAUUAGGAAGGGUUUCCUGGGGAUUGGAUGCUAAGACGAAAAGCAUAGGAAUAGCUUUCUUCCAGCAUUCUACUUGGUGAUCAACCGCCUAUUCAAGCACAAAGCUGCUCCUGAUUAACCCUGAAGACCCCAGUGGAAAGGCACUCCAUUCCACUCUGCAACCGGCGUGACCACGACCCCGCGUGAUGGCGCUGCACCCAAAACCCCAGGUCAUGGACAGUGGCCCCAUGCCAUUUGCCCCCGACUCAUCUCUAGCAGUUUCAUUUAAGAAGCUUUCCUUCAGCUCAUUCUGAAGAGUCUUCCACAGAGUGAGGUCAUCAGUGACCAAGAAAGGAAGUUUCUGGAGGAAACAGUAAAAGUUCAGAUACAAGAAAAUCAGAGCUUGGGAUAAGGACUUCAUUUGGAAGAGAGAGAGAUGUUGAAAGGAAGAGAAGGAAACAGGGGCAAAGAAGACUGUAGGUGCCCUCUGGGGGAACAGGAUCGUGCGGGCGUUUCAGAUUUUGAUGGAGAGCUGGGGAAGUUUUUAAGAGACCAUAAAAAUUUCCAUUUGUCUUGUCUAAUGAAAUGAAAUAUCAGAGAUGGCCUGUCCCAAAGAAGAGAAGUGAGAAACAUUGUCCGUGGCUGUGUAGUGUGUAGCUUUUCCAGUCAAAAUCAAACAUCAUAUAGGCCUCUUCCUAUUUGAGUAGGACACCAAUAUUAUUCCCAUAACGGUCAAGAAGGGACAACCCUCUUCAAAUAUCUAUCUGUGACAACACCUGGAAGAAUCCUUCACUGCUAGAAUUUAUGAAGACAAUAAAAACAUUAAUGAAAAUGACAGAACAUAUGCUGUGAAAUGAGAACUAUGUGCAGUAAACCAUAAAAAAUAAUGAUAUGCAAGAAACCAUAAAUGAAUAUAUACUGGAGGUCUGUUAUCAAGUUCUAUUUAUUCCUCAUAAAAGAAACAGUUUAAAAAAUAUCUCAUAGCUGGCUGUGGAUAGAACAGUCUUUGUUCUGGUUCCAUUGAGAUUUAUGUUCUUCUUGCCUGUCCAAGCGCUUCGGCACCUCUUGCAUGUGACCCACCUACUGUCCAGCCCACUGAUGCCUGCCUUGGAAUUGUUAUCAAAUGCUGGCUGGACUGGGUUCUAAAUGACUCUGGGUGAUCUGAAGUGGGAGAAAGGGAAUCCACAGCAUUUCUUCCCUCUCUUCUGCUCCUGGUGGCAUUUCUGCCAUCUCUGUGGUCCCAGAUGCCUGGGACAGGCCCUCCCUCUGUGACUCUAGUUACCAUUGAACUCUUGGAUCUAGAAACACCGCUGCAUCCCUGGGAUCGUCAAGCCCUAGAGGCUUCCUGCAGUUGUAAAUUUCUGGUUUGCCUUCCUGCCUCCUGUUUUAUUUUUGCUUUUGUUUUUGUUUUUUCAACUUUUUCAAUGCCUUUGUAACCAGGAGCCCAUAUAAAAUUCCCUCUACUGAAGUGGUGUAUGCUCUGUUUCUCUGGAUUCAGGCUUGAUAUAGCACAGUGUGACUUGCAGAAAGUGAUUAUAGGGUGUAUGUGAUUUUUCGAUUAAAAAAACAGAGACUAUACUAGUGUAUUGCUAAAGAGCAUUUCCUUCUCUCCAAUGCCCAUUUCAAAACCCCUGCUGCAAGACAAGUAUUACUAAGAGUGGUUUCUUUCUGCUUUGUGGAUGGCCUAUAUGUCUACCUGAGCUAUAUGGAGAGAAGAUGGAUCUAUAUUGCUCCUGUGUUAGAUUAACCUCUGCCAAAGAGCAAGGCUCAGGAAGCAUCCCUCACUGAGGCUACCGCAUCCUCUAUGGGUCACCAUUAAAACCCUCCAUAGCUAUAGCAAGUUGGGGUUUUUAGCAUCUCACUAUUUCACACUCACAGUGGCCAUGGUGGGCAUAGGUGAGAAAGCAAGGCUGGCCCAGAAGCCAUUCAGGGGGUUUGUUGAGCAAAGGAAACAGAAGCAGUUUCCCGAUGAGAAAAUGCAAGGGAAGAGAAGAAGGAGGGCUGAGAACGUUUUUGUGACUCCAGGAGAGCUGCAGGCGUUGGAGUGAAUAGUGAGUUAGGAGUUAGGAAGGGCACUGUUUCAGACCCAUUCCAUUUGGGAACCCCAGGGGAAACAGACACAAUAGGAUGGAGAAGAGAUGGUCCAAGGACCACAUUCAGCAAUCCCAUUUAAUAAACACUUUCAGAAACACCUUCUCCAUGCUACAGACUGUGCAUCUGGCUCAGGGAAUAGGGAGAAAUAAAGGAAACUGUUUCUGCCCUCACGAAGUAAAUAAAAACUGAGUUGAAAGGAAUCACAAAGAACUAGGUGAAAGAAUACAGAUGGUGCCAACAUAUUGUGGAAGUCAAAGUGUGAAAGAGACGAACUGAGGCAAGAGACAGAGGCAAA